rnacentral:rRNA from 1 species
GAUGAACGCUGGCGGCGUGCCUAAUACAUGCAAGUCGAGCGAACAGAUGAGGAGCUUGCUCCUCUGACGUUAGCGGCGGACGGGUGAGUAACACGUGGAUAACCUACCUAUAAGACUGGGAUAACUUCGGGAAACCGGAGCUAAUACCGGAUAAUAUAUUGAACCGCAUGGUUCAAUAGUGAAAGACGGUUUUGCUGUCACUUAGAGAUGGAUCCGCGCCGCCUUAGCUAGUUGGUAAGGGAACGGCUUCCCAAGGCAACGACGCGAAACCGACCUGAAGGGGGGUCCGCCACACUUGAAAUUGGGCACGGUCCCAACCCCCACCGGAGGGACCAGUGAGGGAUUCUGCCCCAUUGGGGCAAACCCUACCCGGCCAACCCCCGUUGGUUAAGAAGGGCUUUCGGUUCGUAAACCCUUUUUUUGGGGAAAAAAAAAAGUUGGAUAUAACCACGCUGUUCUGGCGGUACCCAAAUAAAAAGCCCCCGCUAACUUCGUG